rnacentral:rRNA from 1 species
UGGGGAAUUUUGGACAAUGGGCGCAAGCCUGAUCCAGCAAUGCCGCGUGCAGGAUGAAGGCCUUCGGGUUGUAAACUGCUUUUGUACGGAACGAAACGGCUCCUUUUAAUACAAGGGGCUAAUGACGGUACCGUAAGAAUAAGCACCGGCUAACUACGUGCCAGCAGCCGCGGUAAUACGUAGGGUGCGAGCGUUAAUCGGAAUUACUGGGCGUAAAGCGUGCGCAGGCGGUUAUAUAAGACAGAUGUGAAAUCCCCGGGCUCAACCUGGGACCUGCAUUUGUGACUGUAUAGCUAGAGUACGGUAGAGGGGGAUGGAAUUCCGCGUGUAGCAGUGAAAUGCGUAGAUAUGCGGAGGAACACCGAUGGCGAAGGCAAUCCCCUGGACCUGUACUGACGCUCAUGCACGAAAGCGUGGGGAGCAAACAGG